AUUGCGGCAGUGCCGCUGGUACCGGCAGUGUCAGCACUGGGCCAAAACUGGCGUUUACUCAGAGGCCACCGGCAGCCCCCGGUGCCAGCACCUGGGCAUACAGCCGGCACGGGUCUCUAGAAGUCUAUGUACACCUACAUCUGAGCACUUCCCAGUCUGGAAGCAGGCACCCAAUCAGAGGGAGGCCUGAGCAGACAACAGGGUUUUAAUAAGAAACGCCACUAAGCCAAUCAGAGAGCGGUACAAAACCAGGUGGGUUGGGUCCUUUCACAAAAUGGCGGCUGCUCACUGUGGAAUGCGGACCGAAACAAAAUGGUGCCCGCCGCUGCGGGUGGGUGGGAGGCAUUGCCUGUCCUGGCCCGUCCCACCUCUGGGAGAGCCACUCAGCAGUUUAGUCCUGCCCUUCACAAAGGGCCCUUUCCCCGCCCUGCCACGCGGUGUAUGCCCAGCGCCUCCAGCUGGUGGCUUGGAAGAGCUGCAGACACGGCUCUGUGGAGCUGCGCUAGCAGCAGAAGCAGCAGCUGCGCCUGCUGCAGUGUUCAUGAUCUGACCGGCCGCUUGGUAGCAGGUGUUCCACAGCAUAUCAUGCGUAGUCAAGUGGGCCUGCAGCUGUGAGUCUGGGGAGUGGAAAGGGUUUAGCGAUCAGCUUUGGUGGAGGGCGUGUUGGCGCAUUUCACGAUAACCAGGUGGACUGUUCCUGCUCUUUGCAGGGGAUGUGAGAAUACGAGUGGCCUGCACAUCGUGACUGUGCCUAUGGGGCUUGAAGUGCUGUGGCACUGAUGUCUCCUGCAUGCUUCCGUCAAGGUGCCUUCAUUUUUUCUCGGUGCUACAAGUCAGCUGCUUGUCUGCCCCGGUCUUUCAGCAGGGCUGCGUGAGGGGCUAACCUUGCCUUUCAUGGCUUAAAGCCACACAUAGCACUGAAGAUGCCGGGCCAAAUUACCUGAGUUUCCACAGCCUCCAAGAGGGUACAGCAACGUAACAACAGGACUCAAAGGCCCAGACGCUGCAGGGGCUCUUCUGAUGGGACAUGUUCUGAAAAGAGACUGCAAAGCUGCUAGAGCAGAAGACAGUGGAGGACAGCUUGCUCUGCCCAUGCACGGUGCCCUGCACGCUCUUGUGCUUGCUCUCUGGGAGCUGCAGCUUCCCUCAGGACACAUUGACCUCCUCUGGCGUGGUCUCUCGCACGGGCUGCGCUGCAUUAAGAAAUGGCUUCUGGUGGCUGGAAGACCUCCUACUCUUUCUCCUCCUCCUGCUCCUCCUCCCGCUCCUCCUUCUCUUCCUCCUGCACCUCCUUCUCCUCCCCUUGUGCCAGCUGGCCCUCCAAAGCUCGAAUCCCCUUUGUACAGCCGCUCUGACUGUCACCUUGGCGUUUGCAUAGCUGUUUCUCACACUUUUUCUUCCUCACCCCGAAGUGCUGAGCAGCAUUUUGCCCUGUUUGGGUGCCUUUUCACGACAACCUUUCUCCCGAGGCCGCGCCUACUUGGCUGCUAGGCUCCGCCAUGCAUUGCGGCAGUGCCGCUGGUACCGGCAGUGUCAGCACUGGGCCAAAACUGGCGUUUACUCAGAGGCCACCGGCAGCCCCCGGUGCCAGCACCUGGGCAUACAGCCGGCACGGGUCUCUAGAAGUCUAUGUACACCUACAUCUGAGCACUUCCCAGUCUGGAAGCAGGCACCCAAUCAGAGGGAGGCCUGAGCAGACAACAGGGUUUUAAUAAGAAACGCCACUAAGCCAAUCAGAGAGCGGUACAAAACCAGGUGGGUUGGGUCCUUUCACAAAAUGGCGGCUGCUCACUGUGGAAUGCGGACCGAAACAAAAUGGUGCCCGCCGCUGCGGGUGGGUGGGAGGCAUUGCCUGUCCUGGCCCGUCCCACCUCUGGGAGAGCCACUCAGCAGUUUAGUCCUGCCCUUCACAAAGGGCCCUUUCCCCGCCCUGCCACGCGGUGUAUGCCCAGCGCCUCCAGCUGGUGGCUUGGAAGAGCUGCAGACACGGCUCUGUGGAGCUGCGCUAGCAGCAGAAGCAGCAGCUGCGCCUGCUGCAGUGUUCAUGAUCUGACCGGCCGCUUGGUAGCAGGUGUUCCACAGCAUAUCAUGCGUAGUCAAGUGGGCCUGCAGCUGUGAGUCUGGGGAGUGGAAAGGGUUUAGCGAUCAGCUUUGGUGGAGGGCGUGUUGGCGCAUUUCACGAUAACCAGGUGGACUGUUCCUGCUCUUUGCAGGGGAUGUGAGAAUACGAGUGGCCUGCACAUCGUGACUGUGCCUAUGGGGCUUGAAGUGCUGUGGCACUGAUGUCUCCUGCAUGCUUCCGUCAAGGUGCCUUCAUUUUUUCUCGGUGCUACAAGUCAGCUGCUUGUCUGCCCCGGUCUUUCAGCAGGGCUGCGUGAGGGGCUAACCUUGCCUUUCAUGGCUUAAAGCCACACAUAGCACUGAAGAUGCCGGGCCAAAUUACCUGAGUUUCCACAGCCUCCAAGAGGGUACAGCAACGUAACAACAGGACUCAAAGGCCCAGACGCUGCAGGGGCUCUUCUGAUGGGACAUGUUCUGAAAAGAGACUGCAAAGCUGCUAGAGCAGAAGACAGUGGAGGACAGCUUGCUCUGCCCAUGCACGGUGCCCUGCACGCUCUUGUGCUUGCUCUCUGGGAGCUGCAGCUUCCCUCAGGACACAUUGACCUCCUCUGGCGUGGUCUCUCGCACGGGCUGCGCUGCAUUAAGAAAUGGCUUCUGGUGGCUGGAAGACCUCCUACUCUUUCUCCUCCUCCUGCUCCUCCUCCCGCUCCUCCUUCUCUUCCUCCUGCACCUCCUUCUCCUCCCCUUGUGCCAGCUGGCCCUCCAAAGCUCGAAUCCCCUUUGUACAGCCGCUCUGACUGUCACCUUGGCGUUUGCAUAGCUGUUUCUCACACUUUUUCUUCCUCACCCCGAAGUGCUGAGCAGCAUUUUGCCCUGUUUGGGUGCCUUUUCACGACAACCUUUCUCCCGAGGCCGCGCCUACUUGGCUGCUAGGCUCCGCCAUGCAUUGCGGCAGUGCCGCUGGUACCGGCAGUGUCAGCACUGGGCCAAAACUGGCGUUUACUCAGAGGCCACCGGCAGCCCCCGGUGCCAGCACCUGGGCAUACAGCCGGCACGGGUCUCUAGAAGUCUAUGUACACCUACAUCUGAGCACUUCCCAGUCUGGAAGCAGGCACCCAAUCAGAGGGAGGCCUGAGCAGACAACAGGGUUUUAAUAAGAAACGCCACUAAGCCAAUCAGAGAGCGGUACAAAACCAGGUGGGUUGGGUCCUUUCACAAAAUGGCGGCUGCUCACUGUGGAAUGCGGACCGAAACAAAAUGGUGCCCGCCGCUGCGGGUGGGUGGGAGGCAUUGCCUGUCCUGGCCCGUCCCACCUCUGGGAGAGCCACUCAGCAGUUUAGUCCUGCCCUUCACAAAGGGCCCUUUCCCCGCCCUGCCACGCGGUGUAUGCCCAGCGCCUCCAGCUGGUGGCUUGGAAGAGCUGCAGACACGGCUCUGUGGAGCUGCGCUAGCAGCAGAAGCAGCAGCUGCGCCUGCUGCAGUGUUCAUGAUCUGACCGGCCGCUUGGUAGCAGGUGUUCCACAGCAUAUCAUGCGUAGUCAAGUGGGCCUGCAGCUGUGAGUCUGGGGAGUGGAAAGGGUUUAGCGAUCAGCUUUGGUGGAGGGCGUGUUGGCGCAUUUCACGAUAACCAGGUGGACUGUUCCUGCUCUUUGCAGGGGAUGUGAGAAUACGAGUGGCCUGCACAUCGUGACUGUGCCUAUGGGGCUUGAAGUGCUGUGGCACUGAUGUCUCCUGCAUGCUUCCGUCAAGGUGCCUUCAUUUUUUCUCGGUGCUACAAGUCAGCUGCUUGUCUGCCCCGGUCUUUCAGCAGGGCUGCGUGAGGGGCUAACCUUGCCUUUCAUGGCUUAAAGCCACACAUAGCACUGAAGAUGCCGGGCCAAAUUACCUGAGUUUCCACAGCCUCCAAGAGGGUACAGCAACGUAACAACAGGACUCAAAGGCCCAGACGCUGCAGGGGCUCUUCUGAUGGGACAUGUUCUGAAAAGAGACUGCAAAGCUGCUAGAGCAGAAGACAGUGGAGGACAGCUUGCUCUGCCCAUGCACGGUGCCCUGCACGCUCUUGUGCUUGCUCUCUGGGAGCUGCAGCUUCCCUCAGGACACAUUGACCUCCUCUGGCGUGGUCUCUCGCACGGGCUGCGCUGCAUUAAGAAAUGGCUUCUGGUGGCUGGAAGACCUCCUACUCUUUCUCCUCCUCCUGCUCCUCCUCCCGCUCCUCCUUCUCUUCCUCCUGCACCUCCUUCUCCUCCCCUUGUGCCAGCUGGCCCUCCAAAGCUCGAAUCCCCUUUGUACAGCCGCUCUGACUGUCACCUUGGCGUUUGCAUAGCUGUUUCUCACACUUUUUCUUCCUCACCCCGAAGUGCUGAGCAGCAUUUUGCCCUGUUUGGGUGCCUUUUCACGACAACCUUUCUCCCGAGGCCGCGCCUACUUGGCUGCUAGGCUCUGCCAUGCAUUGCGGCAGUGCCGCUGGUACCGGCAGUGUCAGCACUGGGCCAAAACUGGCGUUUACUCAGAGGCCACCGGCAGCCCCCGGUGCCAGCACCUGGGCAUACAGCCGGCACGGGUCUCUAGAAGUCUAUGUACACCUACAUCUGAGCACUUCCCAGUCUGGAAGCAGGCACCCAAUCAGAGGGAGGCCUGAGCAGACAACAGGGUUUUAAUAAGAAACGCCACUAAGCCAAUCAGAGAGCGGUACAAAACCAGGUGGGUUGGGUCCUUUCACAAAAUGGCGGCUGCUCACUGUGGAAUGCGGACCGAAACAAAAUGGUGCCCGCCGCUGCGGGUGGGUGGGAGGCAUUGCCUGUCCUGGCCCGUCCCACCUCUGGGAGAGCCACUCAGCAGUUUAGUCCUGCCCUUCACAAAGGGCCCUUUCCCCGCCCUGCCACGCGGUGUAUGCCCAGCGCCUCCAGCUGGUGGCUUGGAAGAGCUGCAGACACGGCUCUGUGGAGCUGCGCUAGCAGCAGAAGCAGCAGCUGCGCCUGCUGCAGUGUUCAUGAUCUGACCGGCCGCUUGGUAGCAGGUGUUCCACAGCAUAUCAUGCGUAGUCAAGUGGGCCUGCAGCUGGGAUGUGAGAAUACGAGUGGCCUGCACAUCGUGACUGUGCCUAUGGGGCUUGAAGUGCUGUGGCACUGAUGUCUCCUGCAUGCUUCCGUCAAGGUGCCUUCAUUUUUUCUCGGUGCUACAAGUCAGCUGCUUGUCUGCCCCGGUCUUUCAGCAGGGCUGCGUGAGGGGCUAACCUUGCCUUUCAUGGCUUAAAGCCACACAUAGCACUGAAGAUGCCGGGCCAAAUUACCUGAGUUUCCACAGCCUCCAAGAGGGUACAGCAACGUAACAACAGGACUCAAAGGCCCAGACGCUGCAGGGGCUCUUCUGAUGGGACAUGUUCUGAAAAGAGACUGCAAAGCUGCUAGAGCAGAAGACAGUGGAGGACAGCUUGCUCUGCCCAUGCACGGUGCCCUGCACGCUCUUGUGCUUGCUCUCUGGGAGCUGCAGCUUCCCUCAGGACACAUUGACCUCCUCUGGCGUGGUCUCUCGCACGGGCUGCGCUGCAUUAAGAAAUGGCUUCUGGUGGCUGGAAGACCUCCUACUCUUUCUCCUCCUCCUGCUCCUCCUCCCGCUCCUCCUUCUCUUCCUCCUGCACCUCCUUCUCCUCCCCUUGUGCCAGCUGGCCCUCCAAAGCUCGAAUCCCCUUUGUACAGCCGCUCUGACUGUCACCUUGGCGUUUGCAUAGCUGUUUCUCACACUUUUUCUUCCUCACCCCGAAGUGCUGAGCAGCAUUUUGCCCUGUUUGGGUGCCUUUUCACGACAACCUUUCUCCCGAGGCCGCGCCUACUUGGCUGCUAGGCUCUGCCAUGCAUUGCGGCAGUGCCGCUGGUACCGGCAGUGUCAGCACUGGGCCAAAACUGGCGUUUACUCAGAGGCCACCGGCAGCCCCCGGUGCCAGCACCUGGGCAUACAGCCGGCACGGGUCUCUAGAAGUGUAUGUACACCUACAUCUGAGCACUUCCCAGUCUGGAAGCAGGCACCCAAUCAGAGGGAGGCCUGAGCAGACAACAGGGUUUUAAUAAGAAACGCCACUAAGCCAAUCAGAGAGCGGUACAAAACCAGGUGGGUUGGGUCCUUUCACAAAAUGGCGGCUGCUCACUGUGGAAUGCGGACCGAAACAAAAUGGUGCCCGCCGCUGCGGGUGGGUGGGAGGCAUUGCCUGUCCUGGCCCGUCCCACCUCUGGGAGAGCCACUCAGCAGUUUAGUCCUGCCCUUCACAAAGGGCCCUUUCCCCGCCCUGCCACGCGGUGUAUGCCCAGCGCCUCCAGCUGGUGGCUUGGAAGAGCUGCAGACACGGCUCUGUGGAGCUGCGCUAGCAGCAGAAGCAGCAGCUGCGCCUGCUGCAGUGUUCAUGAUCUGACCGGCCGCUUGGUAGCAGGUGUUCCACAGCAUAUCAUGCGUAGUCAAGUGGGCCUGCAGCUGUGAGUCUGGGGAGUGGAAAGGGUUUAGCGAUCAGCUUUGGUGGAGGGCGUGUUGGCGCAUUUCACGAUAACCAGGUGGACUGUUCCUGCUCUUUGCAGGGGAUGUGAGAAUACGAGUGGCCUGCACAUCGUGACUGUGCCUAUGGGGCUUGAAGUGCUGUGGCACUGAUGUCUCCUGCAUGCUUCCGUCAAGGUGCCUUCAUUUUUUCUCGGUGCUACAAGUCAGCUGCUUGUCUGCCCCGGUCUUUCAGCAGGGCUGCGUGAGGGGCUAACCUUGCCUUUCAUGGCUUAAAGCCACACAUAGCACUGAAGAUGCCGGGCCAAAUUACCUGAGUUUCCACAGCCUCCAAGAGGGUACAGCAACGUAACAACAGGACUCAAAGGCCCAGACGCUGCAGGGGCUCUUCUGAUGGGACAUGUUCUGAAAAGAGACUGCAAAGCUGCUAGAGCAGAAGACAGUGGAGGACAGCUUGCUCUGCCCAUGCACGGUGCCCUGCACGCUCUUGUGCUUGCUCUCUGGGAGCUGCAGCUUCCCUCAGGACACAUUGACCUCCUCUGGCGUGGUCUCUCGCACGGGCUGCGCUGCAUUAAGAAAUGGCUUCUGGUGGCUGGAAGACCUCCUACUCUUUCUCCUCCUCCUGCUCCUCCUCCCGCUCCUCCUUCUCUUCCUCCUGCACCUCCUUCUCCUCCCCUUGUGCCAGCUGGCCCUCCAAAGCUCGAAUCCCCUUUGUACAGCCGCUCUGACUGUCACCUUGGCGUUUGCAUAGCUGUUUCUCACACUUUUUCUUCCUCACCCCGAAGUGCUGAGCAGCAUUUUGCCCUGUUUGGGUGCCUUUUCACGACAACCUUUCUCCCGAGGCCGCGCCUACUUGGCUGCUAGGCUCUGCCAUGCAUUGCGGCAGUGCCGCUGGUACCGGCAGUGUCAGCACUGGGCCAAAACUGGCGUUUACUCAGAGGCCACCGGCAGCCCCCGGUGCCAGCACCUGGGCAUACAGCCGGCACGGGUCUCUAGAAGUCUAUGUACACCUACAUCUGAGCACUUCCCAGUCUGGAAGCAGGCACCCAAUCAGAGGGAGGCCUGAGCAGACUACAGGUUUCUCAUUUUGUAUCUGUUGUGCAUUAUGUAUAUUAACAUUCUCAUAGCUAUUAUAUUCGGUGCAGUAUGGAUUAUUCCGUACUUCAUGGAUAUGCCCUACCUGAGUCUGUAAUAUUGCCCCCUCUGUUUCUAUCAAUGUUGUUUAAAAGGCACGUUUGAUCAAACUGUAUAUUCCUACCAGGAUUAUGUGUAGGGAGCUCAGCUCCAAAAUAUAUUCCAUCCCAGCA